AUUGAACGCUGGCGGCAGGCCUAACACAUGCAAGUCGAACGGUAACAGGAAGAAGCUUGCUUCUUUGCUGACGAGUGGCGGACGGGUGAGUAAUGUCUGGGAAACUGCCUGAUGGAGGGGGAUAACUACUGGAAACGGUAGCUAAUACCGCAUAACGUCGCAAGACCAAAGAGGGGGGCCUUCGGGCCUCUUGCCAUCGGAUGUGCCCAGAUGGGAUUAGCUAGUAGGUGGGGUAACGGCUCACCUAGGCGACGAUCCCUAGCUGGUCUGAGAGGAUGACCAGCCACACUGGAACUGAGACACGGUCCAGACUCCUACGGGAGGCAGCAGUGGGGAAUAUUGCACAAUGGGCGCAAGCCUGAUGCAGCCAUGCCACGUGUAUGAAGAAGGCCUUCAGGUUGUAAAGUACUUUCAGCGGGGAGGAAGGGAGUAAAGUUAAUACCUUUGCUCAUUGACGUUACCCGCAGAAGAAGCACCGGCUAACUCCGUG
rnacentral:rRNA from 1 species